UACGUAAGGUCCAAGCGGUUAUCCGGAAUCACUGGGCGUAAAGCGUGCGUAGGUGGCGUGUUAAGUGUGAUGUUAAAUCGUGGGGCUCAACCCUGUCGGUGCAUCACAUACUGGCAUGCUAGAGGACAGCAGAGGCAAGUGGAAUUUGUAGUGUAGCAGUGAAAUGCGUAGAUAUUACAAGGAACACCAAUGGCGAAGGCAGCUUGCUGGGCUACUCCUGACACUGAGGUACGAAAGCGUGGGGAGCGAACAGG
rnacentral:rRNA from 1 species